AAAAUUUUGUUGUCUAUUUUACCAUAUAGCUUCUAAUUUUGUCUUUGUAUAUAUUUACCGAUUAUUAUUUUAUUUAAUAAUUUAAGAUGCUGAUACUUAACAAUGCCACAGCUAGGAUUCUGUGAAGUAAAUUUGCUUCAAAGUGAUGAGAGAAAAUGAGAGGCAUGCCACAGUUUGGGUUCCUCUCAGUUUUCAUAUCUCUCACUGUUACUUCAAAGGAUCCAGAUAACAUCAGUGCAUAUCAGUACUGCAAAACACACCUAUUCUCAGAUAAAGCAAAGGACUUUGACUAAAAGGCCUGCAAAAGGAGAAGAGUCAAAAGCCUCCAAUGGAGACACAAAUUACUCUCAACUCUCAUCAGAUCUGAUCCUUUCAGAUAUUUGCUACACCAUCUCUCUUCAGUCAGAUACUUCUUCUGAUCUGUACGGAAACUCUGAUCAUGAUCACUCACUCUACCCGAACCAUUUUGAAUUCAUACGCUCUAACCGCUUCAACUGAAUCCAAGGAUCUAAUAAGUUGAAGCAGUUGGAGAUUGUUGGUGUACAAGGAGAGAGAGCUCAAGAUCUUAAUCCUGCCAUAAUCAAUUCCAAUCCUUCCCAUAAUUUAUCCACAACAAGAUCCCUCACAGACAGUUCUGGCAAUGUUAUCGUCACUUCUCCACACCCCUCUGUUGAUAAUUCUACAAGGCCUAAUGUUUCCUCCAUGGAAAGUGAUAGUUACGUCCUUGAUAUGCCCAUAACCCCUUCUCCAUUACCACCACAUGAAGAUAAUAACAGACUAGGCUUCACAGUUUUGAUUGUUGAAUGUGUAGGUGCUCUGACCAAUCUUAAUGUUUCAUCAAAACCAAAAAGUGACCAGGUUCUGGAUUACGUUGUGGUGGCUUGUUUUGCACUUGCCUUCCUUAUUUCUUCAACUGCUCUUCUGUUGCAUAAGAGAAAGCCUGCGAUUGCUGAGUGGAUGCAAAAAGCUGCGUUUGUGAUUGGGACUUUUGGAUUCAUGGGAAUAAUGGGCAUGCUUUUGCCUUCAACAAUCACUUGGUGCUUCACUAUUUUUGCCUUCUUGCUUUGCAUGUUAAUGUUUGCUGUUGCAAAUUGGAUUGAGUGAGUGGAAUCCAGUUGAACUCACACGUGUGACUCUGCAUGCUAUAAGUAACUAUUAUCGUUGCCCCUUUUUCUUGGUUCUUAAGAUGUAAAGUAGUCUCUAUGAUUCUCGAGACGAGUUAUUUUGAAUUUUAUAUGUUGGUUACUACAUAUAAAUGGGUCAGAAGUACUCUCUGUUUUGACAUGUGAGUUAAUGAUUACACAGGAGAGAGAGAGAGAGAGAGAGAGAGAGAGAGGAGGCGAAUGGCACUUAGCGUCGAUCAUCUGUUGAAUUAAAUGAGACUUAAUUAUAUGUCAGUAUCUUUCUUUCGCUGCA